GAUGAACGCUGGCGGCGUGCUUAACACAUGCAAGUCUUUCGCACAGAUGUGGUCCCCCCUCCUCGCACGGUAGCGGCGGUCGGGAGAGCAACAGGUGCAUACCCUACCUUUAAGACUGAGAGAACUUCGCGACUGAUGAGCCCAUAUCAGGUCAGACAUACUCCUGUAUGGUUCGAUAGUGAAAGAUGCUUCAGGUGAGCCUUACAGAUGGUUCGCUGCCUCGUGAGCUAGCGGGUCAGGUAACGGCUUACCAAGGCACAGAUGCGUAGCCGACCUGAGCGGGUGAUCGGCCACACUGGAACUGAGACACGGUCCAGACUCCUACGGGAGGCAGCAGUAGGGAAUCUUCCGCAAUGGGCGAAAGCUUGACGGAGCAACGCCGCGUGAGUGAUGAAGGUCUUCGGAUCGUAAAACUCUGUUAUUAGGGAAGAACAAAUGUGUAAGUAACUAUGCACGUCUUGACGGUACCUAAUCAGAAAGCCACGGCUAACUACGUG
rnacentral:rRNA from 1 species